rnacentral:rRNA from 1 species
AUUGAACGCUGGCGGCAUGCCUUACACAUGCAAGUCGAACGGCAGCGCGGGAGCAAUCCUGGCGGCGAGUGGCGAACGGGUGAGUAAUACAUCGGAACGUGCCCAAUCGUGGGGAUAACGCAGCGAAGCUGUGCUAAUACCGCAUACGAUCUACGGAUGAAAGCAGGGGAGUCGCAAGACCUUGCGCGAAUGGAGCGGCCGAUGGCAGAUUAGGUAGUUGGUGAGGUAAAGGCUCACCAAGCCUUCGAUCUGUAGCUGGUCUGAGAGGACGACCAGCCACACUGGGAC